rnacentral:rRNA from 1 species
ACGAACGCUGGCGGCGUGCUUAACACAUGCAAGUCGAACGGAAAGGCCCUGCUUUUGUGGGGUGCUCGAGUGGCGAACGGGUGAGUAACACGUGAGUAACCUGCCCUUGACUUUGGGAUAACUUCAGGAAACUGGGGCUAAUACCGGAUAGGAGCUCCUGCUGCAUGGUGGGGGUUGGAAAGUUUCGGCGGUUGGGGAUGGAUUCGCGGCUUAUCAGCUUGUUGGUGGGGUAGUGGCUUACCAAGGCUUUGACGGGUAGCCGGCCUGAGAGGGUGACCGGCCACAUUGGGACUGAGAUACGGCCCAGACUCCUACGGGAGGCAGCAGUGGGGAAUAUUGCACAAUGGGCGGAAGCCUGAUGCAGCAACGCCGCGUGCGGGAUGACGGCCUUCGGGUUGUAAACCGCUUUCGCCUGUGACGAAGCGUGAGUGACGGUAAUGGGUAAAGAAGCACCGGCUAACUACGU